rnacentral:rRNA from 1 species
UGCGUAGGUGGUUUAAUAAGUUAUCUGUGAAAUUCCUGGGCUUAACCUGGGCAUGUCAGGUGAUACUGUUAGACUCGAGUACAGGAGAGGGUAGUGGAAUUUCCGGUGUAGCGGUGAAAUGCGUAGAGAUCGGAAGGAACACCAGUGGCGAAGGCGGCUACCUGGCCUGAUACUGACACUGAGGCACGAAAGCGUGGGGAGCAAACA